CCUACGGGAGGCAGCAGUGAGGAAUAUUGGUCAAUGGGCGCGAGCCUGAACCAGCCAAGUAGCGUGAAGGAUGACUGCCCUACGGGUUGUAAACUUCUUUUAUAAAGGAAUAAAAUGAGGCACGUGGCCCUUUUUGUAUGUACUUUAUGAAAAAGGAUCGGGUAACUCCGUGCCAUCAGCCGCGGUAAUACGGCGGAUGCGAGCGUUAUCCGGUGUUAUUGGGUUUAAAGGGUGGGCAGGCGGAGGUGAAAGUCAGCGGUAAAAUUGCGGUGCUCAAACCCGUACUGCCUUUGAAACUGCGUCCCUUGAGUGCGCGAGAGGUAUGCGGAAUGCGUGGUGUAGCGGUGAAAUGCAUAGAUAUCACGAAGAACUCCGAUUGCGAAGGCAGCAUACCGGCGCGCAACUGACGCUCAUGCACGAAAGCGUGGGUAUCGAACAGGAUUAGAUACCCCAGUAGUC
rnacentral:rRNA from 1 species